rnacentral:snRNA from 1 species
GUCCACUCAGGUCUUUUGGCUAGGACAAAGUGUAGUAUCUGUUCUUUUCAGUGUGAUAACUGAAACGAGGUAUUAUAAAUACCUCAUUGUUGUCUUACUUAUUUUUUAAACAUAAGUUAAAGAUUUUCAUAGCUUGCUAUGAGCUUUAACAAUGGUAUUCUUAGUAUUGCACUAUUUCUAAGUUAUGCCAAAAUAUU